UACAGGGGGUGCAAACGUUGCUCGGAAUCAUUGGGCGUAAAGCGCACGUAGGCGGUUCGUUAUGUCGGAUGUGAAAGCCCUUGGCUUAACCGAGGAAGUGCAUCCGAAACUGGCGAGCUAGAGUACGAAAGAGGAUCGCGGAAUUCCCGGUGUAGAGGUGAAAUUCGUAGAUAUCGGGAGGAACACCGGUGGCGAAGGCGGCCCGCUGGGCAGUGGCUGACGCUGAGGCGCGACAGCGUGGGGAGCAAACAGG
rnacentral:rRNA from 1 species